rnacentral:rRNA from 1 species
UACGGAGGGUGCAAGCGUUAUCCGGAUUCACUGGGUUUAAAGGGUGCGUAGGCGGGUUGGUAAGUCAGUGGUGAAAUCUCCGAGCUUAACUUGGAAACUGCCAUUGAUACUAUCAGUCUUGAAUAUUGUGGAGGUUAGCGGAAUAUGUCAUGUAGCGGUGAAAUGCUUAGAUAUGACAUAGAACACCAAUUGCGGAGGCAGCUUACUACGCGAUUAUUGACACUGAGGCACGAAAGCGUGGGGAUCAAACAGG